ensembl:snRNA U6 U6 spliceosomal RNA
GUGCUCGCUUCGGCAGCACAUAUACUAAAAUUGGAACGAUACAGAGAAGAUUAGCAUGGCCCCUGCGCAAGGAUGAAAUAUGUUAUUUUUUAUUAAUUACAAUUUAUU